UGAGCAUGUGUAGGUAAGAGGACAACUUUUGGAAGUGGGGAAUUUGUGGAGGCCCAAACUCCUCAGGGUCAGAGAAUCUGAGCUUGCUUUAUCCACCAGGGCUGCAUAUGGGAAUGAUUUGACCAUGGGCACGGUUACCAGGUGUUUGGAAGGGUCUACACUUGGCUGUGCAGUGUGCUU